rnacentral:rRNA from 1 species
GCGCAGAACCUUACCUACCCUUGACAUGUCCAGUAUGAGCACCAGAGAUGGAGCUCUUCAGUUCGGCUGGCUGGAACACAGGUGCUGCAUGGCUGUCGUCAGCUCGUGUCGUGAGAUGUUGGGUUAAGUCCCGCAACGAGCGCAACCCUCGCUUCUAGUUGCCAUCAUUCAGUUGGGCACUCUAGAGGGACUGCCGGUGAUAAGCCGGAGGAAGGUGGGGAUGACGUCAAGUCCUCAUGGCCCUUACGGGUAGGGCUACACACGUGCUACAAUGGCGGUGACAGUGGGCAGCGACACAGCGAUGUGAUGCUAAUCCCAAAAAGCCGUCUCAGUUCAGAUUGCAGUCUGCAACUCGGCUGCAUGAAGUUGGAAUCGCUAGUAAUCGUAGAACAGCAUGCUACGGUGAAUACGUUCCCGGGCCUUGUACACACCGCCCGUCACACCAUGGGAGUUGGUCAUACCUGAAGACGGUGUUCUAACCCGCAAGGGAGGAAGCCGGCCACGGUAUGGUCA